rnacentral:rRNA from 1 species
UGACAGUACUCUACGGGGAGGCAGCAGUGGGGAAUAUUGCACAAUGGGGGAAACCCUGAUGCAGCCAUGCCGCGUGUGUGAAGAAGGCCUUCGGGGUUGUAAAGCACUUUCAGUAGGGAGGAAGGUAGUGUAGUUAACACCUGCAUUAUUUGACGUUACCUACAGAAGAAGCACCGGCUAACUCCGUGCCAGCAGCCGCGGUAAUACGGAGGGUGCGAGCGUUAAUCGGAAUUACUGGGCGUAAAGCGCAUGCAGGCGGCCUGUUAAGUCAGAUGUGAAAGCCCGGGGCUUAACCUCGGAAUUGCAUUUGAAACUGGCAGGCUAGAGUCUUGUAGAGGGGGGUAGGAAUUUCAGGUGUAGCGGUGAAAUGCGUAGAGAUCUGAAGGAAUACCAGUGGCGAAGGCGGCCCCCUGGACAAAGACUGACGCUCAGAUGCGAAAGCGUGGGGAGCAAACAGGAUUAGAUACCCUGGUAG